rnacentral:rRNA from 1 species
CCUACGGGUGGCAGCAGUGGGGAAUAUUGCACAAUGGGGGAAACCCUGAUGCAGCGACGCCGCGUGAGUGAAGAAGUAAUUCGUUAUGUAAAGCUCUAUCAGCAGGGAAGUAAAUGACGGUACCUGAGUAAGAAUCCCCGGCUCACUACGUUCCAGCUGCCGCGGUAAUACGGAGGCGGCAAGCGUUAUCCGGAUUUACUGGGUGUAAAGGGGGCGUAGUCGGCGGUGCAAGUCUGGAGUGAAAGUCGGGGGCUCAACCUCCGGACUGCUGUGGAAACUGUACGGCUGGAGUGCAGCAGGGGUAGGUGGAAUGCCUAGUGUAGCGGUGAAAUGCGUAGAUAUCAGGAAGAACACCAGUUGCGAAGGCAGCUUACCGGACUGUAACUGACGUUGAGGCUCGAAAGCGUGGGGAGCAAACAGGAUUAGAUACCCGAGUAGUC